rfam:Enterococcus saccharolyticus ATCC 43076 genomic scaffold acpML-supercont1.1, whole genome shotgun sequence.
UCUCAUUUAAACGAUGUAUUCCCUAACCUCUAAUACAUCCUUGUAACUCUGUAGUUACGCCAGUUUGAAUAAAUUUCUUAAAAACAAA